GGUUCCAUGGUGUAAUGGUUAGCACUCUGGACUCUGAAUCAAAUUCAAAUCAAAUCCGAGUUCAAAUCUCGGUGGAACCU
rnacentral:tRNA from 1 species